UACGUAGGGUGCAAGCGUUAAUCGGAAUUACUGGGCGUAAAGCGUGCGCAGGCGGUUAUGUAAGACAGGUGUGAAAUCCCCGGGCUUAACCUGGGAACUGCAUUUGUGACUGCAUAGCUAGAGUACGGCAGAGGGGGAUGGAAUUCCGCGUGUAGCAGUGAAAUGCGUAGAUAUGCGGAGGAACACCAAUGGCGAAGGCAAUCCCCUGGGCCUGUACUGACGCUCAUGCACGAAAGCGUGGGGAGCAAACAGG
rnacentral:rRNA from 1 species